UUAGUAUUCCUCCGUCCAACAAAGAAUGUCUCAAUUUUAACUAAAUUUGAAUAUAUCUAUACACCAAGUCAUGUCUAGAUACAUUUAAAUUUUAAAAAAUCUGAGACAUUUUUUAUUGAACGGAGAGAGUAUAUA
rfam:Brachypodium distachyon strain Bd21 chromosome 2, whole genome shotgun sequence.